ACGCAAGACCUCUCGCGAGUUGGAGCGGCCGAUGGCGGAUUAGCUAGUUGGUAGGGUAAAGGCCGUACCAAGGCGACGAUCCGUAGCUGGUCUGAGAGGACGACCAGCCACACUGGAACUGAGACACGGUCCAGACUCCUACGGGAGGCAGCAGUGGGAAUUUUGGACAAUGGGGGCAACCCUGAUCCAGCCAUUCCGCGUGAGUGAAGAGGCCUUCGGGUUGUAAAGCUCUUUCGGCAGGAACGAAACGGUGGUCCCCUAAUACGGAUUGCUAAUGACGGUACCUGAAGAAGAAGCACCGGCUAACUACGUGCCAGCAGCCGCGGUAAUACGUAGGGUGCGAGCGUUAAUCGGAAUUACUGGGCGUAAAGCGUGCGCAGGCGGUUAUGUAAGACAGAUGUGAAAAUCCCCCGGGCUUAACCUGGGAACUGCGUUUGUGACUGCAUAACUCGAGUGUGGCAGAGGGGGGUGGAAUUCCACGUGUAGCAGUGAAAUGCGUAGAGAUGUGGAGGAACACCGAUGGCGAAGGCA
rnacentral:rRNA from 1 species